CCUGGAGGAGCCUGGCCUCUGCCUCUUUUUCCCCCCUUUUUUGCUGUGCUAAAAUAGUUUCCCAAUUUUGGGGCAUUGUCAAAGUUUGUUGUGUUUCUUGCAGACAAAUUAUUCCUGUGUCCCAAUUUUUGUAGUUAUGUUAAAAAAAAAUUAAUUAAAAUUUUAAAAAAAAAUUAGAAGGGGGAUUUAAUCCAUUUAUAUAUAUUGAAAGGAUCCUGUUUCUUUUCUCCCAUCUUGCUUAAUUUAGGGUUCAGGUUCCAAGUGAUUCUUCUCUCUCUUCAUUUGGCUUCCCUUGGAAGAUAAAGAGGUCUAAGACAACUUAUCAAUUUUUGACAACAAAGCUGAAUGAAAAAGAAUGCAUUUUAAAUGGCUGAUACCCGAAGGAAUCCUAAUUAACUGGAACUCUAGAAGAUACAGAGUGGAUUCUCUUUUUAUGAGAGGCAUGCAAGCAUUUUUGCACAUGGUGCACAAGAUAAGGGAACCCAAAAGAAAGCUGAGUUUGUCCAUAUGCUAAUAUGGUGGCAUUGUAGUCAAACAGCGCUGAAAGGCAUGGAGGAUGUGGUUGAGUUUGCCCCUCCUGAAUGACCCGAGUUAGUCUGAGCUUCCAGCCCCUCAAUGAAAGACACUCCCAGGUAUGUUUCCAGCUGGUUAAUGUCAGAUCAAAAUGGGACAAGGGAAAAAGAAGCAGAUGGAAGUAGAAGAGGACAGGAAUUGCAGCACAGGUGGACUUUUAUCCUUCAACUGAACUACCUUUCUCAACAAAUGGAGGCAAAGAUCCUUUAUAUUUAAAGGUUUAAGUGACACCAGGAGUAAAAUGUUGACUGAACUAGUGAAAGUUGGCAAAAGCUGCAUUGUGUUGACAAUGAUGACAAAGGAGAAAUGUAAAUCAGCUAAUACUUUUCUCAACAAAUGGAGCCAAUGAUUGUUUCUGUUUAGAGGUUUAAGUGGUGGCAGGUCUGACAUCAGGAGUAGGCAGGCCUGGGCCUCUAAAAGCCUCCCCCACCCAGGAGACACCUCACAUUCUGCUUUAAUGAUCCACAUGUUCAUUUAACAUUUCAUUGGGGAGAUGGAGGGGCUGUUAAAUGACAGUGUAUACCUCCUGUGACAGGCAACCUCAACAUGCAAAGUUCUUGUUGUGUCUCAACUAUCUACCUGCAUCAAUUGCAGUGUGUAUUUUUGCACAGGCAGAUCCCUGCCAUUUCCACUGAACUGCUCAAGUGCUGCAGGCAGUACAGAGAGAGGUGAGAGUUGCUUCUUUGUAAAGCAAUUACUAAAAUUCAAGAAUACCUCCUGGGGACAACUCAGUUCCUGGGACUAAGAUACUAAACAGAUUGAAAUACGGGAUUCCAACAUUGGAAAUAUAUGGGGCUUAGUCUGGCAGUGAUGAUUUUUAAUGGUUGUAAUGCAUCAAAACCUUGCAAAGUUUAGGUGAAUGCUGAAUAAUUUUGGCCAGCUUAAAAAGACUAUUUUUGAAGGCUUUUAAUUUUCAGUCAUUUCAUUUUUGCUGCCGUUUGUAUGAACCAUUCCAAUAUAUCUAAUCCCUUGCCACUAAUCAAAAUGAAAACUAAUGAAAACCAAUUGAAUUUUGGAAGUUCUUUAGUGCCAAUUGUUACUAUUUUCUUGUGAAAUAUCUAUUGUACAUUUAUAAGCCCAAUCUGUUGUGGCAGAUAAACUGUUAACUUGAUUUUUUUAAGAAUAAAGCCUAACAAUUUGGAAUGUUUGAAUUUUCUAAUAACCCUACAGUCUAG
rnacentral:lncRNA from 1 species